UCUAAGAACAUAUGUGUAAACAUGAAUCUGCGAACGGCUCAUUAUGAACACCCCUAACCUACCCAGUUAUCGUAUCCGAAACGGAUAUCUGCGUUAAUUUUGGAGCUAAUACGUGCACCAGAGCACCGCCAGCAAUGGUAGUGCGCACUUAUUAGAACAAGGCCGACUGGGGCAACCCUUUUGGUGACUCUGAAUAAUUUCGCGGAUCGUAUGGUCUUGUACCGACGACGUACUGGUCGGGGGGGUGCCCUAUCAACUAUUGAUGGAAGUCUAUGUGUCUUCCAUGGUUGUAACGGGUAACGGAGAAUCAGGGUUCGACUCCGGAGAGCUAGCCUUAGAAACGGCUAUCACAUCCAAGGAAGGCAGCAGGCGCGUAAAUUACCCACUCUCAAUUCGAGGAGGUAGUGACUAUCAAUAACGAGACAGAUCUCUUUGAGGUCUGUCAUUGAAAUGAGCACAACUUAAAGACUU
rnacentral:rRNA from 1 species